UGCUCUGGCUUAUGAGGUAAGAGAAUGGUUACUACUGUAACCAUUCUGUGACUACUGGAAGGCAAAGUGAAAGUCAGGCUGUGGUAAAGGCCCAGUGUAAUUGAAGGCGAUCAGGGAAAGAUCCUUACCAACCAGGACCCAGUGGCCCGGUACCCAAGUGAGACAAGCAGGGCAUAUCUGAUGACCAAGAUGUCCCAGACAACUACAUAGUGAUGAGGUGAAAUUCAGCAGGGAUACAGUGCAUCUGAAGGAAUGUCACCAAAAUGAGCAGGCGGGUCUUUUGCAACUUGAACAGAGCAUGCAUAUAAAAUGCAGUGUCCUAUAGUGCGACUGUCAUACCCAGUGUGUGGGUUACAGGAAAACUGAAUUCCUCUUUCCAGUGUUGGUCCUCUUGCACUUCUAUGUGCACACUAACCAAGUCCAGCCUUGCUGAGGAGACAGUAUAACUCUUAGGUGCUGGUAGGUCGUAGAAAGUGAUUUUAUUGUUUUAACUGAAGCCAACAGGACCAAAAUGCUAGCUGAAAAACAGAAAACGCAUGCUACGUGCUGAUACUUGUCCUGUAAAAGCUGCCAAGCUCAA